GGUGAUCGUCGAUGUGGCGAUCGACCAGGGGGGGUGCGUGGAGACCGCCCGGGCGACGACGCACCAGAACCCGACGUACGUCGUGGAGGGGGUCGUGCACUACUGCGUGACGAACAUGCCCGGCGCAAUCGGGCGGACGAGUACGAUCGCGCUGUGCAAUGCCACGCUGCCGUACGCGCUGAAGAUCGCGAACCAGGGGUACGAAAGGGCGGCGUCGGACCCGGGGAUCGCGGAGGGCAUCAACAUCGUCAACGGGCGGAUCGCCAACGCCGCGGUCGCCAGCGCGUUCAAGAUGCAAUACACGCCGUUGCGGAAGGGGUGAGGGCGAGUGAUGAACGACGAGUGAUGAGUGAUGAAGGUUGGAAGCCCGUAGGGCAAAGCGCUCGUUGCGGGGUGUUGUGGCGGGUUCCUAGAAUGCG
rnacentral:misc_RNA from 1 species